GUCCCCGCGCAGGGAGAAGCUGUCGUGCCGCUCCGAGCUCUACGGCGACGAGGACGAGAACUGGAGCAGCCCCCGGGGCUUCGCCGCCAGCAACCAAGGGGCCAACUGGGAAGGCGCCGAGACCCCCAACGUCUACGUCAGCCUGGCGAAGGUGGACACCGCGCAGAAGGUGAGGCCGGCGGCUCCCUCGGGGCGCCCGCGCGGGGGUCCCGGCCCUCACCCCCUCCUCUUCCUCCCCAGAUCCACAUCCAGAGGCCCUCCAGCAUCCUGCCCUGAGCGCAGCUGCCUGGGGAGGGGGCGGCCGGUCCCGGCGCCGGGAAACGAACCGGGGCGGGACGGGGCUGCCGUCCGCGUGCGACAGGCGUGGGAGCGCACCGCCGGCCCGGGGCACCCCCCGCGCCGCCCUUUCACCCCCUCCUGUUUGAUAGCGGAAUAAAAACGUUGAUUUUUAUCGCGUCCCGCUGUUUCCGCG
rnacentral:lncRNA from 1 species